GCUUGCACGAGCGGGGAGAGGCGCGAGCAGCCCCCAGCCUGGGCCGCUGUGAGCCUCCCUGUUAUCGAACCCAGGGAGGUAUUAGGGGCCGGUUCCAAGCGGCCUGGCCGGUCAGCCCGCUAGGAGUCACGACACCAGAACUGGCCACAGUAUUUCAGCAGCUGUUGCACCAGUGCCAAAUACAGAGGUAAAAUAAUCGCUCUACUUCUAUUAAAGAUUCUCAUUUAUGCAUCCAAGGAUCACGUUAGCCCUUUUGGCCAUAGGGUCACAGUGGGAGCUCAUGUUCAGCUGCUUAUCCAACACAACGUCCAAAUCUUUUUCAGAGUCACUGCUUCCCAGGAUAGAGUUCCCAAUCAUGUAACUAUGACCUCCAUACUUUGUCCCUAGAUGUAUAUAUUUACAUUUAGCCAUAUUAAAAAAGGAUAGGACCAGAGAAAAAGUAAUAAAAAUGAAAACCUCCAAGCUUGUAUUUUAUUUGGGCCUCUCAGGGCCUAAUCCUGCAAGGUGCUGAGGGCCGUGACCUCCCAGAUGUUCAGAUUCUCAAUACCUUUGAGCUCUCCAUGCAGAGGAAUGUCAAAGCAGCACAGCAGUCUCCCCCCCCCCCCCCGCAUCCCCCUGCCAGCAACAGUGUGCCUGCUUCUGUGUUCCUAGCGCCUGGAAGAACACAAGCAUUCCAAAGAUUUGCUCUUUGUUCCCCAAAGGGAGCAGCAUUCUCAGUUGUCAGAUAUUUCCCUGAGCUUUGAAAGGGGAGGGCACAUGCAUGCAGAGCAUCAGAGAUCAAAACAGUGAACUGGAGAGCGGUCAGGGCAGGCAUUAUGGGAUACUGGCGGAAGCCAGUUCUUUCGACAAAACAAACAGGAGCGUCUAAACUGAAGCUUUGUCCUUUUAACUUUGCCGCAAAAGGCUUUAUGCCUCUUGAUGAAGUGAUUUUAUUUUGUUGACAAAACAGCGGAGUUUUGCCACCAAAAGUAGCUCUGUAGUGUGUACACCUCCCUCUUUUGUUGGCAAAAGUCAGCUUUUGCCAACAAAACUUUGUAGUGUAGACAAGGCCUCACGCUAGUGAAAUAAAUGGGAGUUUUGCCAUUGACUUUAAUGGGAAGGGAAUCAGAGUUCCUCCUGAAAAAACUUAAGCAAAUUAAUAAUUCCUUAGCUUUCACUGGGGGCUUGGCUACACUUGCGAGUUACGGCGCAAUAAAGGAGCCCCGGGCGCACUAGCUCACUACCCGGCCACACGGGCAAGGCACGUAGAGCACUCUGACUCCAUGGCUACAGCACUGUGACUCCACCUUGGUGAGUGGAAUAAUGUUUGCUGCACCCCAGCUGGAGCGUCGCAGCACCAGUGUGGACGCCCUGGUCCUAUAGUGCGCUCUGAUCGGCCUCCAGAAGUGUCCCCCAAUGCCUGUGCUAGUCACUCUGGUCAUCACUUUGAACUCUACUGCCCUGCCCUCAGGUGACCAACCGUCAGACCCGCCCUUUAAAUUCUCUGGGAAUUUUGAAAAUCCCCUUCCUGUUUGCUCAGCCAGGCAUGGAGUGCUCUCAGCGAAUCUUUCCAGGUGACCAUGCUUCCACGCGCAAGCACCAGUAUGGAGCAAUGGCAAGGUGCUGGACCUCAUCAGUGUUUGGGGGGAGGAAGCUGUCCAGUCCCAGCUGCGCUCCAGCUGUAGGAAUUACGGUACCUUCGGGCAGAUAUCAAGGGACAUGAUGGAAAGGGGCCAUGACCGGGAUGGACUGCAGUGUUAGCUCAGUGGCUUGAGCAUUGGCCUGCUAACCCCAGGGUUGUGAGUUCAAUCCUUGAGGGGGCCAUUUAGGGAUCUGGGGGGAAAAAAUUAGGGAUUGGUCCUGCUUUGAGUGGAGUUUGGACUACAAGACCUCCUGAGCUCCCUUCCAACCCUGAUAUUCUAUGAUUCUAUAAGCUGCGGAAUGCCUACCGCAAAGCCCGUGAGGCAAACAGCCAUUCUGGUGCUGCCCCUGCAACCUGUCAUUUCUACAAAGAGCUGGACGCAAUACUUGGGGGCAACCCCACCUCCACUCAGAGUACCACCAUAGACUCUUAAGAGCCCAGUGCAACAAGGCAGGACGAGGAGGAGCAAAGUGGGAGCGAGGGUGGUGAGGCAGAGGAAGACACCCCAGAAUCCCUAGCUGCAUGAAGCCAGGAGCUGUUCUCAAGCCAGGAGGAAGGUAGCCAGUUGCGGCGGCUGGUGCUUGGGAAGGACAAACUCCAGAGGAGGUUCCCGAUGCAACCUUGAGAUCUCAGUUGUCCGUGUUAUCACCGGCCGAAAGACUCCAAAGAAUCAGAAAGAGGCCCCAUAGAAGCAAGGAAGACAUGUUGCAUGAAGUAAUGCAGCAUUCAAGUAAUGAAAAUCGAAAAGUGCAGGAGUGGCAGGACAGUGAAAGGAGGAUCUGCCAGCAGAAUGAAGAGCACCGGCACAAAAGCGCUGUGCUCCGGCAGCAAAGCACGGAUCGGCUGAUAAGCA